CCUCGCGGCCCGGCCUGACCUGUUAAUCACGUCCCCACGGCUCUUCUAGCGGGGACACCGCCGUCUGCAGGCUCCGUCCCCACCGUGCCCAGACCCCGGGAAGUUUGUCAGUCAGCACCCUGAUGCCAGCCGAUUCUCAAAAAGCCAGGAGGAUCCAAGCAGAUCAUUUGCCAGACGGUACUGCAGCAAUGGAGAUGAACAGAUAAUUCACACAGAAAGAAGGAUGCAGGAUGCUCGAGACUCUUGCAGUAAUUUGGGCAAAGAUUUCCA
rnacentral:lncRNA from 1 species